CCCUUAGAUGUCCUGGGCCGCACGCGCGUUACACUGAUGCAUUCAACGAGCUUAUAACCUUGGCCGAGAGGCCCGGGCAAUCUUGUUAACGUGCAUCGUGAUAGGGAUAGAUUAUUGAAAUUAUUAAUCUUGAACGAGGAAUUCCUAGUAAACGCAGAUCAUCAAUCUGCAUUGAUUACGUCCCUGCCCUUUGUACACACCGCCCGUCGCUACUACCGAUUGAAUGGCUUAGUGAGCCUUUGGGAUUGGCAGCUUGUACCGGCAACGGUAGCAGGCAGCCGAAAACUUAGGCAAACUUGGUCAUUUAGAGGAAGUAAAAGUCGUAACA
rnacentral:rRNA from 1 species